CUGCAGGUCAUGAUCCACAUGAUAUCAUACAUUUAGUUCAAUGGCUGGAUGAAGAAUCUCUUACUGCCAUUAGCCCAAAGAUCCUGGGUCCACAUCCAAACUGUUACACUUACUCCAAAAGGCUAGCAGAAAGUCUCGUGUAUGAAGAAUCGAAACAUAUGCCUGUUGUUAUAUGUCGCCCAUCCAUAGUGACACCAGUUUUCAAGGAACCAUUGACAGGAUGGGUAGACAGUCUGAAUGGUCCUGUUGGUAUUCUUGUUGGUGCAGGAAAGGGAGUUAUUCGUUCUAUGCUUUGUGGACCAGAUUUUAAUGCCGAGAUUAUUCCUGUUGAUAUAGCAGUCAAUGGAAUUGUAGCAGCUGCAUGGGAUACAGCAGUCAGAAGGCCAGAGAAGAUGCCUGUGUAUAAUUUAUCAACAUCAUCCCUGGUGCAGAUUACAUGGGGUGAAGUGUUAGAACGUGGACGUCAGAUUGUGUAUGACAAUCCAUUUGAAGGUGCAGUUUGGUAUCCAGAUGGAAAUAUUCGUACAAAUCCAAUGGCACAUUAUCUCUGUGUACUCUUUUUUCACAUAUUUCCAGCGUAUAUA
rnacentral:lncRNA from 1 species